UACAGAGGUGGCAAGCGUUGUUCGGAAUUACUGGGCGUAAGGGCGCGUAGGCGGUUCGUUAAGUCCUGUGUGAAAUCCCCCGGCUCAACUGGGAACUGCACAGGAACUGGCGGCUUGAGUUCGGGAGAGGGAAGCGGAAUUCCGGGUGUAGCGGUGAAAUGGCGUAGAUAUCUGGAGGAACACCGGUGGCGAAGGCGGCGAGUCCUGGACCG
rnacentral:rRNA from 1 species